rnacentral:rRNA from 2 species
GUGCAAUGGCAUAAGCCAGCUUGACUGCGAGCGUGACGGCGCGAGCAGGUGCGAAAGCAGGUCAUAGUGAUCCGGUGGUUCUGAAUGGAAGGGCCAUCGCUCAACGGAUAAAAGGUACUCCGGGGAUAACAGGCUGAUACCGCCCAAGAGUUCAUAUCGACGGCGGUGUUUGGCACCUCGAUGUCGGCUCAUCACAUCCUGGGGCUGAAGUAGGUCCCAAGGGUAUGGCUGUUCGCCAUUUAAAGUGGUACGCGAGCUGGGUUUAGAACGUCGUGAGACAGUUCGGUCCCUAUCUGCCGUGGGCGCUGGAGAACUGAGGGGGGCUGCUCCUAGUACGAGAGGACCGGAGUGGACGCAUCACUGGUGUUCGGGUUGUCAUGCCAAUGGCACUGCCCGGUAGCUAAAUGCGGAAGAGAUAAGUGCUGAAAGCAUCUAAGCACGAAACUUGCCCCGAGAUGAGUUCUCCCUGACCCUUUAAGGGUCCUGAAGGAACGUUGAAGACGACGACGUUGAUAGGCCGGGUGUGUAAGCGCAGCGAUGCGUUGAGCUAACCGGUACUAAUGAACCGUGAGGCUUAACCUUACAACGCCGAAGGUGUUU